rnacentral:rRNA from 1 species
GACGAACGCUGGCGGCGUGCCUAAUACAUGCAAGUCGAACGAGAGCGACCGGUGCUUGCACUGGUCAAUCUAGUGGCGAACGGGUGAGUAACACGUGGGUAACCUGCCCAUCAGAGGGGGAUAACAUUCGGAAACGGAUGCUAAAACCGCAUAGGUCCUUUAACCGCAUGGUUGAAGGAGGAAAAGAGGCGCAAGCUUCUGCUGAUGGAUGGACCCGCGGUGCAUUAGCUAGUUGGUGAGGUAACGGCUCACCAAGGCCGUGAUGCAUAGCCGACCUGAGAGGGUGAUCGGCCACAUUGGGACUGAGACACGGCCCAAACUCCUACGGGAGGCAGCAGUAGGGAAUCUUCCGCAAUGGACGCAAGUCUGACGGAGCAACGCCGCGUGAGUGAAGAAGGUUUUCGGAUCGUAAAACUCUGUUGUUAGAGAAGAACAAGUGCUAGAGUAACUGUUAGCGCCUUGACGGUAUCUAACCAGAAAGCCACGGCUAACUACGUG